GCCCAGGUAGCUCAGUUGGUAAAACAUCAGGCUUUUACUCUGAAGGGCCAGGGUUCAAGUCCUUGUCUGGGUG